UGGAUCUUCACGUAUGGAUCUAUGGAGAAGAACCGACGUGGGCCGUGUUUGUGUUGUGCAUCAUUGGAAGACUGCUGCUGAUGUCGCCCCCUGCUGAUUUGGAGCUCCAGUGCAUCCGUAAAGUAACCACUUCUGGUGUAAAAGCUUUCAUUUCCACGUGGUAAAAAACGUCAUGUGACCUCUCAUACGGAGCAGAGACACGGCUGAAUGGACGCAGAAGAAGAAAAAGACCUGCGAUGCCACAUCGCUGCCUCCCACAUGGCCUUUUAUCUCAGCCAAGGAGAGGAGUCGGGAUAACAUUACGGAGCUCACAUCCGGCCCGUUUUAGCGCCUCGUCCCAGGCGGCUGUUAUCUCUUCCAUUUUAUGGAUGGAUGGCCAUGCCUGUGAUUGCAGUAGCGCCGCACCUCGUCCGACUUGAGCUCAUUGUGUUACAUUCACACACAUGAAAGGAGUCGCUUGCUAAAUUAAAUAUAGACCCCCCCUCGUCAUUUUAGAUUUUCCACAGUGCGUCAGCUCCCUUUUACACACGCACGCACACACAUGCGAGUGUGUGGCCAGCAACACACAUUGUGAGUCCCAUAGUGUACCAGCAGGAAGGAUAAGAGCUCCAUUUAAGGAUGAUGGGCUAUUUAGCACCGCGUAUGUCACGUUUGCUUGUCGCUCUGCUGCCGCCUAUCUGCCUUAUGUUCACAGUGCACCUCAGCAGGCGAGGGUGGAGCCGGCUGAGCACACCUGUGAUCAAUCUUCAUCAGUAAUCACUGAGGACUCUUAAGCCAGGCAGCGGCAACACACCAGUUGCCAGAUGACUCCUAGACUACCUGCUUCCUGCUCCUUACCCUGCUCUCUGGCUCCCUGCUUACUUUCACCUGCCUGCUUAGUAUUUGUGAUCUACUCCGCAUUCGCCGUGUCCCACGGCCUCGCAUGACAGAACAAUCUGGACAGACAUGGAUCCCGCAGACAUGGACCAAUUCCGGAAAAGCCCUGGCACACCAAGGACACAUGGUUGGAAGCCAUGAGAAAUCAUUCCAGGGGAUCAUGGAAGCCAUUUCAGUUCUCUCCGCUAAUAUGGAAGCACUAAAUCAACGACUAGGACACUCCGCUCCGAUUCCUCCACCACAGCAUUAGUUGGUAGUCCAACGACGGAGCAGAGGAUUUCUCAUCCCUUCAACUGAGACGACGAAACUGCUACUACGGAGGUGCCGAUGCAGAUUGGAGGACGAUGACUAGACGCCGAGGAGAGAGCCCGUCGUCGACGCCUGGACCUGUGCCUAUAUUGCAGUGACCCAGGACAUCGGCUUCUCCAGUGCCCCGUCCGUCCAGUUCGCCGCCAAGGAUCGACCCCAGGAUCAACACCGGCACAAUCAUCAAUACUCAGUAUCGAUCCUCCUGUUGUCAGCUGGGGACUGAGUACUCCGAGGAAAUAAUUGACACAUACAAGGAGGAGUCUUUGAAACGACUUCAGGUCAAGGGGAUUAUUACAGGCUCGAAUUCCACAGCCUCAUCCUUGACCACUCCUACUCUUGCGAUUGGUCAGAGGUCGUGGGUUGACCCCUUGCCAUGUCUCAGAGCUCCAAAGACACACGCCCCCCUCAACCGGCGCUCAUGGUUACUAACAAAGAGCAGGACACCACACCAUGCACGAGUCUACCAGAACGAGACCAAACCAUAUACGAGUCUACCAGAACGAGACCACAUCAUACACGAGUCUACCAGAACGAGACCACACCAUACACGAGCCUACCAGAACGAGACCACACCAUACACAAGUCUACCAAAACGAGACCACACCAUACACGAGACUGGUCUACCAGAAUGAGACCAAAUGAGAUUUUAUUAUAUUACUUUUAAAACAAGUACAAUAAAAAAAUAUGAGUGGACAAACCA